GGAGGAAUGGCAGAGUGGUCGAUUGCGGCAGUCUUGAAAACUGUUGACUGUAACAGGUCCCGGGGUUCGAAUCCCUGUUCCUCCGCCU
rnacentral:tRNA from 1 species